UUAUGGACUCAGGAUGAACGCUGGCGGCGUGCCUAACACAUGCAAGUCGAACGGGUAAGGACACCGGAUGAAGAUUCGCAGAUUCCACGUCUACUUAGUGGCGACGGGUGAGUAACGCGUGGGCAACCUGCCCUGUACAGGGGAAUAGCAGCUGGAAACGGCUGGUAAAACCGCAUAUGCGCGCAGUACCGCAUGGUACAGCGCGGAAAACUCCGGUGGUACAGGAUGGGCCCGCGUCUGAUUAGCUGGUUGGUGAGGUAACGGCCCACCAAGGCGACGAUCAGUAGCCGGCCUGAGAGGGUGAACGGCCACAUUGGGACUGAGACACGGCCCAAACUCCUACGGGAGGCAGCAGUGGGGAAUAUUGCACAAUGGGGGGAACCCUGAUGCCAGCGACGCCGCGUGGAGGAAGAAGUAUUUCGGUACGUAAACUCCUAUCAGCAGGGAAGAUGAUGACGGUACCUGACUAAGAAGCCCCGGCUAACUACGUGCCAGCAGCCGC
rnacentral:rRNA from 1 species